UGGGACUCUAUCCCGGGUCUCUAAGAUCAGGCCCUGGGCCGAAGGUGGCGCUAAACCGCUGAGCAUCCCCCGGGCUGCCCGGUUUCUUCUUCUUCUUUUCUUUUUUUUAAAAAUUAGUUUGUUUAUAAACUACAAGGAUAGUCGGUGGUAGAAUACGCAGACCUCCCCCCCCCCCCCCCCCGGCGAGGUACCCCCAGGUUCCUCUUAGGCCGCAGCACGUGCGUGCAGGUGUCCGGCUGCUCCGUCGUCCCGCCUCCGUCCCAGCGACGCUCCCGCGAACGCUCUUAGGCACGGGGUGACCAAGCGCGAGGCUUCCUUCCUAAGGUCGCAGCAGGCGCCUGGAGGGAAGACGUCGUCCGCUACUGCUGGUCCCAAGAACGGCUUCUCACCUGGUGGCUGGCAGGUGGCAGCUGUUACUGAUCUUAUUCUGCCUUGAGAACUGGUUAUGUGUUCUCACUUUGAAGAUGGAUGGAUCCUCGGUGGCCUUGAAGUAACCUCUUUCUGGCCCUCCUGCCAGAAAUAGGAGAUUUUUCUUGGAGUUCUAGCUGCCUUCCAUAGCUGCAGCUGCUGACUAGGGCCCACACUGGGGCAAAGAGGUAGAUGCUUGCUAAAUAUUCUACUAACUUGAGUGGCAGAGGGCAUGAUCACAGACCCCCUUGACAUGUUUUGACAUGAAGGUGAACAAAGAUCUCCUAAAGCCAAUCCAUAUGCCUGAGGGAAUUCUUUCACAGGUAAAACCGCAGAGAAAAGCUGAGAUAUGGCAAAAUGAAGAAAGGUACAUGGGAUUUUAUAUGUUUUAACUCAUCGAAACCUCAUAGGAUCCUUAGGUGUAUUGAGAGCUGAAAUACUGUCCCCAUCUUGGAAGUGAGAAACCGAGGUGUGAAAAGUGAACAUCACGCAGCUUGUAAGGGUCAGAGAGAAGAUUACACCAAGGCAGAUUCUGUACAGGAGAAGGACGAUUGCCCCUUUUACAGAUGGUAGAAAGGGGUGGAGACUUACAUCGGUGACCUCAGAAAAGGGGGUGAGUUAGAAGACAGGCGUAAAUCUGAGUGUUACGGUCACAGAGGUCAGCCACAGCUUUAUAUUGAUGCAGUCACUGAGAUUCAACCCGGACACGCUCUGUCCCUCGCUGGCCCGCCCCGAGGACCGAGGACACCGAGGAGCUCAGCAUGCACCGACGUGAGUGGAGGACGGACAGUACCUGCCAGCACCAGGCCUGCACGCGGUGAGAAUGCAGGAGGGCGGAGCUCCCGGAGGAACACGAACUAAGAGAAGAUUCGGGGAAGACAGGGCCUCGUGCAGACAUCCCGCCUGCACGGAAUCCGUCGCCUCACACUCAGGUGAAGGACACUGAUGGCCGUGCCCGUGAGGCCUCUGCACCCGUGGGGGCGAACACGGGGCGAGGGAGAGUAAGGCCGCCCUUCCCGAGGUCUUCCUGGCCACUGCACUCCUGGGCCUUCAGCAGGGGAGACCCGGCCUCUCCUCCACCCCUGCGGUGCUGCAGGAGCCUGGCCACCAGUCCCCAUCUGGAAGCUUCCCUGGGACCUUUAGGAGCUAGGCUCCGGCUGCCCCGAGCCCCGGCCCCGGAGCUACCAGGCUUUCCAGGCGGGCCUCUGGGGGUAACCGAGUCAGGAGGCCGGGCCCUCUGCAGGGACUGGUGCCCCCACCAGGAGGGCCGGGCGAGCGCUUGCUCCCUGUGCUCUGGGCCAGGAGAGGCUCUGGUGGGAAGGCCGCCGGCUGCAAACAGGUAAGGGGCUCCCCCAGAUACCUGACCCGCUGGCAGCCUGGUCCUGGACUCCCUGCUUGAGGACCGCAGGGAACACGCCGGCAGCCGGCGAGACACCCAGGCCAUGGCAUCCUCUUACAGCUGCCCGACGGGUGAAGCUCUCCCUCCCGGGCACAGCCUGGGUCAGGCUUCGCGCUGCCCUGCCUCGAGGAACCUGGCCUUCCCCAGCCUGCCCUCAAGCCACUCCCACCGACGACCAUGACAAAAUGACAACUCAAAUGAUUGAGACACAAUGACGUGCCAACCUCGGGGUUGACUGUUCAGAGGUGUCACCUGGCAGGUGCCACCUGCACCCGCCCUUUCUAAGGACAGCCUCUUCUGGCAAAGAGUGAGAAGGCGGAAGACUGACACCUGCCCAGUGUGUUCACGUGGAAGACUCCCUGGCGGUGGGCGCUCCUCUGCUGGGCUCCUGUGGAACACUCUCCCCGGCGGCCUGUGCUCCCCCACCGGGCUCCUGUGGAACACUCUCCCCACCGCCCUGCACUCCCCGAUGGGCAGCUGUGGAGACUCUCCCCAGCGGCCUGUGCUCCUCCGACGGGCUCUCAUGGAAGACUCUCCCUGGCGGAGGGAGCUCCUUUGACAGGGUGGAACACUCUCCCCAGUGGCCUGUGCUCCCCCACCGGGCUCCUGUGGAAGACUCUCCCCGGCAGAGGGAGCUCCUUUGAUGGGCUCCUGUGGAGACUCUCCCUGGUGGCCUGUGCUAGUCCAAUGGGCUCCCAUAGAAGACACUCCCUGCCGGCAGGAGCCCCUUGACGCGCUCCUGUGGAACACUCUCCCCGGCUGCCUGCGCUCCUGGGACACCCUCCUGUGGAACACUCUCCCCAGCGGCCUGCGCUCCCCCGACGGGCUCCUGUGGAAGACUCUCCCCGGCUGCCUGCGCUCCUGGGACACCCUCCUGUGGAACACUCUCCCCAGCGGCCUGCGCUCCCCCGACGGGCUCCUGUGGAAGACUCUCCCCAGGGGCCUGUGCUCCUCUCAAGGCUCCCCGUCCUCAUGAGAUGCUGCCCCCAUUUCUGUUGUUAAACUCGUUGGACUCUUAUUUGCCAGAUGCGGUUCUAGAUGCUUGAAGCUCAUCAAUGAACAAAACUUCGCAAAUGAAAUUUUGAUUUGGUGUCUAUUUGGUAGACACUUUCUAAGUAUUUUUAAAAAAUCUUAGAAACUUCCCACUUUCACAUUCGGACUGCCUUGGUAUUAAAUUCCGCUUCCAUGUUGUAUCUAUUUCCUUUUAACGGAAACACGUGUAGUCGGAAUAAAUACGAUUAUAACUACCAGUAAGUUUGUGUGUAAGGCAUCUGUUUCCAGGAAUGAAUGUGCCUGAAAUUUUUCUUAGAUUUUGUGACCGUGUUACCCAGACGUGGCACUCCAGGCUCCCUGGACACUUGUUCUACUGAAGGGCUUCUGAAAUCCACAUGGGAGACGGCCCGCAGAGCCAUGGAUCAGGGAAACGUGUACACACAUCUUGUCUUGAACUCAGCAGAAGAUGUGAUAAAGUGCCUCCAUAUUGUCCCUGAGCUGGAAAAAUGCCAUCAAAAGACACUGGAGUGUUUCCAGCAGCAGAGUGGAUUGAUCUGAUUUGUGCUUGGAGAAGAUCAUUUGGGCUGUUGUCUGGAGCCCAGAGGAGGAUGGUGAGGUCAUAAGCACUGAGGCCGGGAAACCAGUUGGGAGCCGACUGUUGCAGGUCCAGCUUUAUUCCCAAAUGGUUACAAGAUGGCGGCGUCAGCUCACAUCUUCUGAUUUUCAGUGAAGAAGAGAGACCCGCAACAGUGGAACAAACGUCCUGAGCUUGGCUCUCACGGGUUCACAUUUGGACAUGCGCCCUAAGCCGGUCUCUGUGGCAUAAAAGAAAUGGUUCCUCAAAGGACCUUGGAAUACUAUUGGGAAGAAGGAAUAGAAAAUGGCAGAAUGAAUAUUGUCUGUCAAGUUUUAAGCACUUGUGUGUGGCUUCAAGACCCUCGUUUUUGUUUGUUUGAGUCGACGGUACUUAGAGAUACAGUAGGCUUUCAACUUCACCAAUGGAGAGACCUUCCAUUGUCUUUGUGUCCCUGGGACUUCAUGCUAUAAAGCCGCUCUCCACAAUACUUGUUGGCUGAAUGAGUGAACAUGAGACGUCCCUGAAGUUCGUGGAAAUCGUCGCUGGACUUUGCCAUCGACUUGUGCGAUCAAACAAAAUAAGGAUUUCCGUGUAUGCGCAUAAAUGGUUUGGGGAAAAUGGUCAAAGAUGGUCAAACUAAUGCAAAGAGGAAAUUGUUAGACUCCAUUAAAGCGUCCUGAAAAGGUUUUACAAGUUGAGAUCUUGGCCUGCAUUUUAAAAUUUGGAUUCUUUUUGAUCUCUUUCACCUUUUAGGUAUAAAAUAAACACCAUAUUUCCUCUGGCAUUUCAGAGAACUGAACUUGAUGAUUCUGGCGGCGUUAUUUUGCUCUUUCGAGACAUUCAACAGCAAGCACAUAUGUGUCUGACUAAAUGUCACUGUGCUUAAGAUUUCUAUAAUUUGGAUUUAGAAGCUGGCGAAGGGAGAAGGAAGACAGGACUUGUAACGCGGAUACCUGGGAUUAAGGAUUACUUAGCAGGAACGUGACAUCCCAUUCCGAAGCAUGUCCACAGGCCAGGAUGGCAGGACAGAGCUUCACCGAGAUACAAUUGACAUACGUCGCUGCCUGAAUUUCAGGCAUGUUGCAUGAAGAUUUGACUUACGCAUAUUGUGACCUGAUCACCACAGUUAAGUUUCACUAACAUCCAUCAUCUCAUAUAGAUACACUAAAAAUAAAUGGAGGAGGGGAGAAAAAAAAAUCAUUUUCUCCUUGUGAUGAGAACUAUUAGGAUUUCCUCUCUGAACACCUCCUCUGUGUAUCAGACCGCGGGGCUCACCCUAGCCAUCAUGCUAUACAUGGCAUCUCUAGGAUUUAUUUAUCUUAUAACUGGAAGCUUGUAUCUUUUGGCCACCUUCUUCCAAUUUCCUCUCCCUUUCCCCCACCGCUGGUCACCACACAUCUGAUCUUUUCUAUAAGUUUUAUGAGUUUGCUGUUUUGUUUUAGAUUCCACCUACAAGUCACGUCAUAGAGUAUUUGUCCUUCUCUGGCUAUUUCACUUAGCAUAAGGCCCUCAAGGUCCAUCCAUGUUUGAUCACAAAUGGUGCAUUUUCCUCAUUUUUUAUGGCUGAAUUAUAUCCCAUUGUCUAUUUAUACCACCACUUCUUUAUUCUCAUUUAUCGAUGGACACUUGGGUGCUUCCAUGGCUUGGCUACGACACAUUGCUGGAUCUCCAGGCUCUUUAUAUUUCACAGGUUCAGGGUCAUUUGCAGGAUGCAGACCAGUAGUUGCUUGAAGGCUUUAGCUCUUUCUGUCCUUUGUGAAAGCUUACGCUCUUUGAACAGAUUAUGUAAGGAAGGAGAGAAAAAGAAAUGCUCUUAAGAGAGUUUAGAAGGGAGAGGAUGAGUUCAAGAACGAGAGUUUUUUUCCCUCUCCUGUUAUGGUGAGAGGAUAGCUUUUGUGGGUCAUGUUGGUAGCAGAGUCUUGCUCAGUGCUCGUGACAGUGACCUCAGAAGGGGCAUAACCUCAGAGGGGAUGGAACUGUGGCCACUGCUGGAGCCUAGACCGAAGGCACAAGAUCCUCCAGCUUCAUUAGAGUUUCACACUCGCUAAGCUGGGCAAGAAAGCAGCCGAGCCUUGAAAUCCAAAGAGAACUUGAGGGCUGAGAUAACAUGUAUUUUAGCAUUAAUUCCUGCUGACUAACGGCCACUCGGUGAGGGAGACUUCCUGAAGCGCUGAUGUUGCCCAAAUCCCUGGAAUCUUUGAGUGGGCGUGAGAGUAGGAGCAAAAACAAAUGAGCUGAAACUCGCCAGCAUGGUAGGAUGAGGACGGGAGAUGAAUUUAAGCAGACUUAGAAAAGUAAGUAAAAUGUGAUAUUUUUCAUAGUUUAUGGACCGACAUAUAGACCCGCUAUACUUAGGCGGAAGUGCAACAUUUACCUUAAGGAUAAGAGUAUAUUGUAAUCCUUGCUUCCGUCCCCAAACCUACCUCUGCCUUGCUUACCGUACUCUAGCUGAGCUGAUUAGUCCUCAAGCUGCCCUCCUCCUUUUUCCCUGAGGAUCUUUGUGUUUUAACUUCCUUUUGCCUGAAAAAUGCUCCUUCAAAUAUUUGCAUGACUGGCUUCUCCUCACCUUUCAGAUCUUGCUUGAAAUGUCAUUUCCUAGGAGAGGUUAUCCCUGGUCAUGCUAAUGAAAAGAUCCUUCUCUCACAGCCACUUCUAUCACAAAGUGGUUAUUCUCACUUACCCUACUUUAUAUUCCUUCUUCGGAAUUAUCAUAAACCAGUUAGAUAGGUAGAGUGAUUGAUGAUAGAUGAUAGAUAGAUAGAUAGAUAGAUGGAAAGGAUAUUAUUUUUCUAGACCCGCCUUCCAAACACCACAGACCGAGUGCCUUAACAGCAGAAAUUUAUUUUCUCACAGUUCUGGAGGCCUGAAAUCCAAAAUCAAGGUGUUGGCAAGCUUAAUUUCUUCCGAGGCUUCUCUUCUUGGCUGGCAGAUGGCCUCUGUCUUGCUAUAUCCUCACAUGGUCUUUUCUCCGUGUGUAUCUGUGUCUUAAUUUCCUUUUUCUUGUGGGGACACAUGACAUACUGGAUUAGUCAUUGGCCUACCCAUACAAUCCAAUUUUCCUUAAUUACCUUUUUUAAAGGCCUCCAAACGUAGUGACAUUCGGAGGUAGUAAGGACUGGAACUUCAACACAUGAAUUUUGAUGGGAUGCAAUUCAGCCCAUGAUAGAUAGAUAGAUAGAUAGAUAGAUGAUAGAAUCUCAGUAACUUCUGCUGGGAGAGACACUCAUCUGGCCGUGGGCCUAAGGGAAGAGGUCUGGGAUCCUUCUACUUGUGUUUCCCACAUUUAGGGAUACCUGGCAUCUCUAAUUCCUAAGCCUUGUGAUGCUAAUGGCAUGAAUCAGUCUGUGUCUUCUGAGCUCCUCUCAUCCCCCCUCCUUUACUUCUUUCCUCUACUACUCACUUAAGAAAACAUAAAAAACUCAAAUCACAUUAGGUGACUAGUCAUACAGCUACUUCUUGCCGUCUGAAACAUUGUUGGCAUUUUUUACUGUCUGUUGUCUUUUCUCUUAUUCACUUUAUCAUUUGAUUUUUAUACAUUUUUUUUCUUCCUUUAUAAUCAUUCUAGAAGGAUUUCAUGAUGGUGUGGAGAUAAUCUGCGGAUGCAAUGCUUUGUGGUUAAUUUAGUCUAGAAUCUGCUAUGUUAUUUUUAGUUUUGUUUAAUAAGACAUUAAGGUCCUAAUACCUCGUUCUAAAUAGUAAAUCCUGAUGGAUUCCUUAUUAAUUGUGCAAAAGUUCUAUCACUAGUGAUCAAUGUGUUUAUUUUUACAGGAUUAAUUACAUAGAAGGAGUAUUAUCCAGGAAAUUAUAAACAUUAUAUCUAACACUGGUUCUCAUUUCUAUGGAUUUGGUGAAAUUUUUAUGUAUAAACCUGGGUCGAUACCUAACAAAAUGAUACCACAUCACACAAUAACACUUAGGUAAUUAGAAAAGAUAAUCUGGCCCAAGGCAGCUUUUGGUUUCGGUUCUUAUUACUUGCCUAGACAAACUCUGUGUAGAGUCCAACCGGAUUAGCAGCUUGUUCUUCAAACAUGCCUCACAGAUUUCAGCCUGGGUGUAUUUGUUUGGUGUAUUUCUUCCUUUUUAGAUGAUUUUAAGUGAUAAUUCAUCUUCAUUUGUUAAAAUCCUUUCCAUUUUUCAAAGCCUACCUCAAAAGUCAUCUUUUUUGAGGUUCCUAACUAGAUGUUUUCUCUCUCUUUUGGAUUUAAUAUUUCUAUUCCUCUUCUGGCCCUUACUUGAUUGUAGUCAAAUUGUAAGUAUAUUAUUCUUACUACACUAAAAGCAUCUAGAACAUAAAGUUUCAGUCAAUUCCUCAUGAGUGCCUCUGGAACUACAUUUCAUUUAGCAAGAGCUCAAUAAAAUUUGUUGAUUUGACUUAAAUUCCUAGGUCACAGUGACCUUAGUCGAUAACUAAUGGGAAAUAUGAAUUUAUUUAAAUACCAAUCUCUAUAAAAUGAUUAGAAAGCUAAAUCUGCUUUUAAUACUGUUCUGCAUCCUCCUGCCAAAUUCAAACCCAACCAAAGCAUUGUAAAUCCAAAAUCAUACUUAAUUUUCGUGUUACAUAGGUAAUGUGGGAUUUGUUUUUGUUUUCUUUCUUUCUUUCUUUUUCUUUCUUUCUUUCUUUCUUUCUUUCUUUCUUUCUUUCUUUCUUUCUUUCCUUUUUUUUUGCAUUUAUAAAGAUUAAAGGAUAGUCUUGAAAACUGAUUACAUAGACUCAUAAGAAAAGGUUUUAGGACAAAUUUAAUAUAGUCUUAAAGACCUGUCGGUCUGUUAAGUACAAAAAGACCCCAGGAGUAUCUUUGGCUAUUAUUAGAAUAACAGAAAAUGAAGAAGAUAUCUGUUUAGGAGAUAUUCCUGCUAAAGCAGAAUUGAGAGCAGAGAGCAGUAGUUUAAGAAGGGAAGAGAGCAGAACUAAGCAGAUGAUACAUCUAGUAGUUUUUCCCCAAGAGGUUUUGAGUAUAAAGAAGUGGCACUACCAAUGUACUAAAAGCCCUUCAGGGAAUCAUGAAGCUUCAGUGCAUUGAUCUGUGCCACGGAAUAGGAAAUUCAGAGGAGUGAAGGUAGGUUGGCCUCAAUAAUUUCAGAAGAGUUUGACUUCCUUGAAACCAACACACAUUUCAAUAUAACAAACAGUAUAAUUUUUCAACGUUGUACAGCAUUACUGAGUGAUAACCAAGGAUUUCCUCAUCUUGUUUGUUCCACGGCUGGGUCAUCACAGCAAAAAUAGAGCAACGUUUUUUUUUUUUCCUGCAUACUGUACAUGCGACCAGGCAGUAGUAUGGCACACACACACACACACACACACACACACACACACACAAAAUGAUAAUACAAGAAGAUAGAGGAUUAGGUGUUUUUAAGAAUCGAGCAAAAGGAGUAGCUGACAAGCUAGUACUUUGUCACAUUAUAUCUACUCGGUAAGGGAGUUAUAGGUUAAUGCCUCAAAUCUGGUCAAUGGUGAGUAAGUAUUAAUUGACAGUUAUAAGCCGAUCAGAAAGAAGUAACAGAAGUAAUAAAAAAAAAUACCUUUUUUCUAUAUUGUGAAAGUUGGCAAAUCAUGCUGCCAAAAUAAAUCCACAGCAUGUUAGAACAGGUUAUAACAUCAAAAAACCCCUCGUAGUUCCUUGUUAUGCAUAGGGGGGCCUAGUGCACAGAUUUCUGAACUCUUUUAGUCCUGUGCCCAAAGCUAAUUAGUGGAAAAGCCAGGACUAGAAUUCCAGCCACCUCUUCUUUGGGUUCACUUAUGCUUUUUCUACUCCUCGCAGUGCCAAAGACAAACCCCAUUUAUUGAACAAUAUAUGCAACAACUAUUCUGAUCAUUUACCAUAAAGCAUUUUGAAGCCUUAAUUUCUUAAAAAUCAGGACAAUUUAUAACAUUCUUUAAUUAUCUUUGUGUGUGGUGAUGCAUAUUCAUCUCGCUAAAAGGAGUAGAUGAUAACCAAAUGCCUUCAUUCAUUCAUUCAUUCAUUCGACCAACAUUUACUGUGGUCCUCCUAUGGAUUAGUCUCACCCAAAUCUAUUGUUUCAGUUCAUUGAUAAUAUCCUUACCAAUGGUGAGUUUUUGAUACAAACAAGCACAUUCAGAGAGUUUAAGGGGAAAUAAAUAGGGUUUAUAAGGCACAUUAUUUAAGACCUUUUCAUUGGGUGCUCAACCUAUUUUCUUCCCUGGCUAUAAACAAUGCCUUUAACCUCAGUCAGUCAUUUGUAAACCAAUGCCCUUAAUUCCAGAACUGUUGAGAAUAUAGAUGCGUCAUUGCACUUUCAGUCUUUUAUGUGGUAAGUGUGGAGCACAGUCAUUUUGUUAUGAAUAAGGAUACAGGGAAACGAGAUCGGUCUAUUAUAAUAGAUGGGAUCUACUGGUUUUUAGGAAAUAAUGUCCUAAAUAUAAUGUUAUAUAAAAAUGAAAUAAUCUUAAUGGCUAUUUAACUCUCUCGCUGGAACUUGGUUAUUGGGCAGCAGUCAGGAGCUUUUGGGGGGCAUUCGCAGUGGAUUUCUUUUUAUAGCUUUCAUGAUUAUUAGGCAAAAGCAUGUCAUGAGAAUAGUAAAGCCAUGCCUUUUGCUUUCUGAGCAGGUCUCUGUAAGCAAUUUAAUAUGGUUCACCGAGAGAGGGUAUGGUAGCUAGUCCAUGUUAAGCCUAAACAAACUGCAGUAGAAAUUGAAAUGGUUGUUCCUGGCUCAAUUCAUGCCCCUGGAUUAAACUGAAAUAUUACCCAUGUCAUGUAGGGAUAUUGAAGAGAGUUGUAAUUCUGUUGGUUUCAACUAGGUACUGCCAGCAGUAACUGCCUUAUGAAAAACAGUGGAAAUACAUUUCCCGAAGAAUUAUUAGUAAAAGGUGAAACUCCAACAAGAAGUGCAAUUCAAAAUAGUAAUAAAAUAAAGAAUAAGGAAAAUUAUUUGCUAUCUACAAGAAUAAAAUUAUGGAAAGCUGUCAUCAGUGAAAUUACCCUCCUCAUAGAAUUACAGAAUUGUUUAGAGUUCUUUUACUGCUGCUGUUGAGUAAGCCGAGUUUACAUUGUUUCCAGAGAUACACACAUUAUAUUAUUUAUUUCCAUAACUGGUAAAAUUCCAGCAUCAUAAAUAACUUUCCCACGGCCUGUGUGGUUUUAUUUAGUGUGUACAUAUUAAUGCCUUAAAUUACAUUUCUAUAGCACACUCAAUGAGCAUACUAAUAAAAUCACAGCCGCUUCAAUGACCUUGAGACUGAACCUCAGUCCUUCACCUACAGAAUUUUAAAAACACAGACAUGGAGGAGGCAGCGGGAAGAUGCAUAAGUAAUUGCGGAUUCAAAGCAUAUGUUUAUCUCUGGGAGUAUUUGCUCCUCAAAUGUUGUUAAUAUUUAAAUAUACAUUUUCGGGAAGCAGCCAUUCUCUAAUAAUAACUCUUUCGACCAACCUAAAAUUUUGCAGGCUGCCAAUCUUCCAGUUAGACCCAUUCACUGUGCUGCUCCGUCUAAUAGUAAUUGUCAAUUGGACAAUCCCUCUAAUCACCAACGCACUUUGCAGAUAUUCACCCCGAAAACUCAUGGAACUCCCCUGCGAUGUAGUUCUCUCCCUUCCUAAAGGAGGGACAACUGAGGGUGUUCAAAAUAUUUCUUCCUUUUUGCACUGAUGUUGAUUUGAUUGAAUUAAGAGUUUAUCCAAAGCAGACUCAACUUCUGCAAGUUUGUUAAGAGUCAGUAGAAGAUCCUCAAAUUAAGAUUGAGUUUCAAGGCAAAGAUUAUAUCAAAUGCAUGGACAUUAUGAAUCAACUGGUGAAACAGGCCAAACUGAGGAAGCAGAGUCAAACCUUUGUGAAGACCUUUCUAGAAAGCAUAAACUCGAGUCCCAUGGAGGCUUGAUGGGCCCAGAGAAACUGAUUAAAUAGAGAGGCAGGUCUAAAAAGGAAUUGUAAGUGUGGCCUUGACAAAUGGAGUUAACUUGCAUCAAAUAUGUAGAUAAUGCAUAAAGUUCUGAAGACAGAACCAGUCUGAGCCAAAAGAAACAGACUUUUAGAGACUUGUAAAGGACUUUAGGCCUUCAAAUUUCUACAAGCAAGAAGUAGGCUGAGAAGACUGCUGAGCAAUCAAAAAAGAGCAUGUUUUCCAAAGCCUUCAUCAGAAGUGGGCAACAAAGAUGAUGGAUGGUGAUGUAGCUCACAGAAGGCACAACCAAAGUCUGUGGAUAAUAACCAACUGGAGAUGCUCUCUGAAACAUAAGUGGAGCAGAAUCAGAACCUGGUCAACAAAUAUUUCCUAUGCCAAAGGAGGGUGAGUUGGCGGCAUUUGAUCAGUUGGAUUUCUAGAACUGCUAUUGGAGCAAUAGCUGCCUUGUGAUUAGCCUGUCCCUGGUCCACGGAUAUUGGGUACCUUGCAUGGGGAGGAGGGGAAAGAUAGAGGGGUAACUUGUUUUUUUUAAGUUCCUAGGUCUCUGGAUUAAGAGAAAUUGCACUUAGACCUGAUGUAGAUCAUAAGAACCUCAACUUUGAGCCUGAUGCCAUGAUUGGAUUAGACUUUUUAAGAGUGCUUGAGGUAGUCUGAAUUAUCGGCCUCUGCUCUUUAUUUCUUGCAGCAUGCCUCAUCAUGGGCAGAGUAUAUAUCCUUACUCUGACUUUGCGCUUGGCCAUAUGACAUCUACAUUUGACCUCUUGCAUAUCUAUUUGCAUCAUGAGAAGAACUUGUUCUAGUGGCUUCUUCCCCUCCCACCUGGGCCCUAGAAUGAACAUAUGUGCAGCCAAGGCCACACGAAGGAAGCAGGACUGCCCAGCUGAGCCCAUCCUAGACCAGCAGAGCUGAUUCACUUUGUCUGUAGAUCCUUAAAAAUAAACAAUUUUUUUUUAAGGCA